CCGGGGCUGGUCUCCCGCGCUGCGGGAAGUGGCGGCCGAGGGGGGUUGCUUACCCGCUUUACGGGGAAAGGUGGAGGCUAGGAGCGCCUUUCGAAGCUCUGCCUGAACCCCCGAGAGUUAGGAGGCUGCUGGGGGAGGAGGGAACAACCGAAGAAGGCUACGGUGUGAUGCGACCGCCGAGGUGCGGGGUGUCAGGAAGUCCCUAGCUCCCCCGAACGUGACCUCGCUCACAGGACCUGCCCUCUCCUUGAACUCUGCCUCCUGCUUUUGCUACCUUGGGCACCUGGACGCGACCCUCCUCUCGCUGCCCCUGACUCAGAUUUUAUUUAUUCGAGAGAGGAGAAACGCAAAGGGAGACUGAAAGGGAGAAACAGACUGAUGUGGGACUCCAUCCCAGGACCCUGGUUCAUGACCUGAGCCAAAGGCAGAUGCUUAACGGACUGAGCCACCCAGGCGCCCCUGGUGUAUGAAUUAUGUCACAGUAAAGCUGUUAUGAGAAAGAAAAAAAAAAUUGACGUCUUGUUCACUGUUAAAUUUCCAGUGGCGAACAUACAAUCUGGCACAUACUAGGUACCCAAUAAAUAUUUGUUGAAUUUAAAAUGA